GAUGAACGCUGGCGGCGUGCCUAAUACAUGCAAGUCGAGCGAACAGACGAGGAGCUUGCUCCUCUGACGUUAGCGGCGGACGGGUGAGUAACACGUGGAUAACCUACCUAUAAGACUGGGAUAACUUCGGGAAACCGGAGCUAAUACCGGAUAAUAUAUUGAACCGCAUGGUUCAAUAGUGAAAGACGGUUUUGUUGUCACUUAUAGAUGGAUCCGCGCCGCAUUAGCUAGUUGGUAAGGUAACGGCUUACCAAGGCGACGAUGCGUAGCCGACCUGAGAGGGUGAUCGGCCACACUGGAACUGAGACACGGUCCAGACUCCUACGGGAGGCAGCAGUAGGGAAUCUUCCGCAAUGGGCGAAAGCCUGACGGAGCAACGCCGCGUGAGUGAUGAAGGUCUUCGGAUCGUAAAACUCUGUUAUUAGGGAAGAACAAAUGUGUAAGUAACUAUGCACGUCUCGACGGUACCUAAUCAGAAAACCACGGCUAACUACGUG
rnacentral:rRNA from 1 species